rnacentral:rRNA from 1 species
CGCCUCUUGACACAACAUAGGAGGUCCAGCCUGCCCAGUGACAGAGUUCAACGGCUACGGUACCCUGACCGUACGAAGGUAGCAUAAUCACUUGUUCCUUAAAUGGGGACUUGUAUCAACGGCAUCACGAGGGCUGCACUGUCUCCUUUCUUCAAUCAGUGAAACUGAUCCCCCCGUGAAGAAGCGGGGAUGAAAUUAUAAGACGAGAAGACCCCAUGGAGCUUUAAAUAAUACAGCCACACUAUAUCAAAAUAUCCUCUUACUAAAAGUCCUGACUGUAAAUUUUAGGUUGGGGAGACCGCGGAGAACAACUAAACCUCCACGACAGACGGCCUAAGCCCUUAUCCACGAAUAACACUUCUAAGAAUCAGUACUCUGAUGUUAUUGACCCGAUAUUAUUCGACUGACGAACCAAGUUACCCUGGGGAUAACAGCGCAAUCUACUUUGAGAGCCCAUAU